rnacentral:rRNA from 1 species
UAAGCGGAGGAAAAGAAACUAACAAGGAUUCCCCUAGUAACUGCGAGUGAAGCGGGAAAAGCUCAAAUUUAAAAUCUGGUAGUCAUUGGCUGCCCGAGUUGUAAUCUAGAGAAGUGUUUAUCCGCACUGGACCAUGUAUAAGUCUUCUGGAAUGGAGCGUCAUAGAGGGUGAGAAUCCCGUCUUUGACAUGGACUACCAGGGCUUUGUGAUGCGCUCUCAACGAGUCGAGUUGUUUGGGAAUGCAGCUCUAAAUGGGUGGUAAAUUCCAUCUAAAGCUAAAUAUUGGCGAGAGACCGAUAGCGAACAAGUACCGUGAGGGAAAGAUGAAAAGAACUUUGGAAAGAGAGUUAAACAGUACGUGAAAUUGUUGAAAGGGAAACGCUUGAAGUCAGUCGCGUUGAUCAGGGAUCAACCUUGCUCUUUUGCUUGGUGCACUUCCUGGUUAACGGGUCAGCAUCAAUUUUGACCAGUGGAAAAAGGUUAAGAGAAUGUGACAUCUUCGGAUGUGUUAUAGCUCUUGAUUGUAUACAUUGGUUGGGAUUGAGGAAUUCAGCACGCCGCAAGGCCGGGUUUUAAACCACGUUCGUGCUUAGGAUGCUGGCAUAAUGGCUUUAAUCGACCCGUCUUGAAACACGGACCAAGAA